rnacentral:rRNA from 1 species
ACGAACGCUGGCGGCGUGCUUAACACAUGCAAGUCGAACGGAAAGGCCCUGCUUUUGUGGGGUGCUCGAGUGGCGAACGGGUGAGUAACACGUGAGUAACCUGCCCUUGACUUUGGGAUAACUUCAGGAAACUGGGGCUAAUACCGGAUAGGAGCUCCUGCUGCAUGGUGGGGGUUGGAAAGUUUCGGCGGUUGGGGAUGGACUCGCGGCUUAUCAGUUUGUUGGUGGGGUAGUGGCUUACCAAGGCUUUGACGGGUAGCCGGCCUGAGAGGGUGACCGGCCACAUUGGGACUGAGAUACGGCCCAGACUCCUACGGGAGGCAGCAGUGGGGAAUAUUGCACAAUGGGCGGAAGCCUGAUGCAGCAACGCCGCGUGCGGGAUGACGGCCUUCGGGUUGUAAACCGCUUUCGCCUGUGACGAAGCGUGAGUGACGGUAAUGGGUAAAGAAGCACCGGCUAACUACGUG